rnacentral:misc_RNA from 1 species
CAGUUUGCAGAAGUGGAAACUUUUCUAAUGAGAGAGUGUGAACAAGUGGAGAAGACCAGGCAAAGGUUUGCUGCUGAGCGGGCCCGCAUUCUAUCGUCCCGGAUUGGACCUGCUGGAGCUACUUCACAAAUGAACCUGGCAGGAGUUUCUCCUUCCAUGGUUAACAAUAACAUCGGCAGCAGUAGGCAACAAGUGAUGCCUACCUCUUCUUCACAGCCGACCGUUUCAGGAUAUGGCAACAAUCAACAGAUCCAUCCCCACAUGUCAUUUAUGCAACGGGGACAACCACAGCCAAUGUUUCCAU